rnacentral:rRNA from 1 species
UACGGGGGGGGCAAGCGUUGUUCGGAAUUACUGGGCGUAAAGGGCUCGUAGGCGGCCAACUAAGUCGGACGUGAAAUCCCUCAGCUUAACUGGGGAACUGCGUCCGAUACUGGAUGGCUUGGAUUUGGGAGAGGGAUGCGGAAUUCCAGGUGUAGCGGUGAAAUGCGUAGAUAUCUGGGGGAACACCGGUGGCGAAGGCGGCAUCCUGGACCAAUAUUGACGCUGAGGAGCGAAAGCUAGGGGAGCAAACGGG